UACGAAGGUGGCAAGCGUUACUCGGAAUUACUAGGCGUAAAGGGCAGGUAGGUGGUUUGGUUAGUCUGUUGUGAAAGCUCCUUGCUUAACGGGGAGAGGUCAACAGAUACUGCCAGGCUUGAGUAUGGGAGAGGGUACUGGAAUUCCCGGUGUAGCGGUGAAAUGCGCAGAGAUCGGGAGGAACACCAAUGGCGAAAGCAGGUACCUGGACCAUUACUGACACUCAGCUGCGAAAGCUAGGGGAGCAAACAGG
rnacentral:rRNA from 1 species